AGGAUUUGACAUCCUGCGAAUCUCUUGGAAACUUGAGAGUGCCUUCGGGAGCGCAGUGACAGGUGGUGCAUGGCUGUCGUCAGCUCGUGUCGUGAGAUGUUGGGUUAAGUCCCGCAACGAGCGCAACCCACGUCUUUAGUUGCCAGCAUUUAGUUGGGCACUCUAGAGAGACCGCCGGUGAUAAACCGGAGGAAGGUGUGGAUGACGUCAAGUCAUCAUGCCCCUUAUAUCCUGGGCUACACACGUACUACAAUGCUACGGACAAAGGGCAGCAAGUUCGCGAGGACAAGCAAAUCCCAUAAACCGUAGCUCAGUUCAGAUCGUAGGCUGCAACUCGCCUACGUGAAGGAGGAAUCGCUAGUAAUCGCAGGUCAGCAUAC
rnacentral:rRNA from 1 species